UGUUCUAGCCCAUGCAAAGACAGUAAGCUAGAUUUGUGUUUUGUGUGUGAUUACAGGCGAUCUUGAAGCACUCAUCAAAGACACCUGAUGAAGCCCUACCCAUCGGAUAAGAGAUUCAUCACCUGGUAUUGAGGGUAAUGAGCGAGGCGUGGAGGUGAACACAUUAAACCAAGCCGACCUUGCCCAGCCCAGCCAGGAGGGAUGAUAGAGAUGGUACAGGACCAGGACCAAACCAAACUCCCUCC
rnacentral:lncRNA from 13 species